rnacentral:rRNA from 1 species
CCUACGGGUGGCUGCAGUCGCGAAUUUUUCACAAUGGGCGCAAGCCUGAUGAAGCCACGCCGCGUGCGGGAUGAAGGCCCUCUGGGUUGUAAACCGCUGUCGAGGGAGGGGAACCGCUGGAUGUGAAUAGUAUCCAGUCUGACUGCUCUCUGAAGGAAGCCCCGGCAAAACAUGUGCCAGCAGCCGCGGUAAUACAUGUGGGGCAAGCGUUGUUCGGAAUUACUGGGCAUAAAGGGUGCGUAGGUGGUUUGUUAAGUCAGGGGUGAAAUCCCGCG